rnacentral:misc_RNA from 1 species
CCGAGUUUACAACCCCCAAACCCCUGUGAACAUACCUAUACGUUGCCUCGGCGGAUCAGCCCGCGCCCCGUAAAAAGGGACGGCCCGCCCGAGGACCCCUAAACUCUGUUUUUAGUGGAACUUCUGAGUAAAACAAACAAAUAAAUCA